UACGAAGGGUGCAAGCGUUAAUCGGAAUUACUGGGCGUAAAGCGUGCGUAGGCGGUUUGUUAAGUCUGUUGUGAAAUCCCCGGGCUCAACCUGGGAAUGGCAAUGGAUACUGGCAAGCUAGAGUGUGAUAGAGGAUGGUGGAAUUCCCGGUGUAGCGGUGAAAUGCGUAGAGAUCGGGAGGAACACCAGUGGCGAAGGCGGCCAUCUGGAUCAACACUGACGCUGAGGCACGAAAGCGUGGGGAGCAAACAGG
rnacentral:rRNA from 1 species